UAUUACGAGGCUAAGCUGCCCGCUCCUGUGCGCUUCACAGCACCGCAAUAAAUGGCUGUGGAAAGUAAAGACCAAAUGGCCCCGGGAUUCAUACUUGGGUAUAAAAUGUGUUAGCAAAUCUGCUCCGUCCGUCAUAGCUCCGCCACUUCACUCCCCCCACCCCCAUUACCCUGCCGUGCUCUCCCACGGCGGCUGUGUACAAAACCCAGCAGUGGCUGGCCGUGUUGCGCACCGACAUUCACCGGCAGCGCACGCAGUGAUCCAUUUUCAAUUGAACGGGACGCUUCAGGCAUCAUCAGAAGCAUCAAAUCCACCUUGCUGCUGGUAUCGAUACUUUGCAUUUGCUGGUGUUACGUCUGUCCCCGCUGCCAAGAUGUGAAGCCGGAGGAUUUCAGACAGUGUGCAGCUAUCGAGAUCCAAAUUACGCAAUGAACAGCCUUCAACAAAUAAGCAGAAACUACAGCAGCAUCUUUAAAUCCCAAAUACUUCAUUCAACAAUGCAAAACGAGGAAAUCUACAGAUGCUGGAAUUUCAAACAACACAUAAAAAUUGCUGGUGAACACAGCAGGCCAGGCAGCAUCUCUAGGAAGAGGUACAGUCGAUGUUUCUCGCUGAGACCCUUCGUCCUAAGGUCCUUGAU